rnacentral:lncRNA from 1 species
CAAAAAGAGAAUGUUUUUUUUUUUUUUUAAGUUAUGUCUAUGAAGGAUCUCUGAAGAAUUCAGAUGAGAUGAAGGACUAUAGAUUUAAUGUGUAUAACUUUUAGUUUCAUACUGUGUUGGACUAAAUUUAAAUUCCAGGUCUCAAGCAGGUUUUCUUAAAGGCCCUGUUCUGUCAACUAGAGCGUUCUAUUACCUGUUUUGUCUUUUAUUUCCUUCAUGCCUGUGCUACCCUGUUGAGAUUCUUAGUGACUAUUUUAAGGCAUAUAAAUCCUCUUUUUUUUUUUUCCUGGUGGUGCUGGAGAUUGAACUCAAUUCCUCACACAUGCUAAGCAUGUGCUUUAUCACUGAGCUACAUCCCCAAUCCUUUUUAUUUUUUGAGACAGGGUCUUGCUAAGUUGCUUAAGGCUGCUCUUAGUUGCUGAGGCGGGCUUUGAACUCAUGAUCCUCCUGCCUCAGCCUCCUGAGUUUCUGGGAUUAUAGGCAUGCGCCACCACCCCAGCACCUAUGGACCAUUUUUGCCUACCAAGAUUCAACAUAGAGUCAGAUGCUAUAGAUUCAGAUUUGGCAAUCUACCUCUUGAAGUCCCAAAUUCUGCUUGAAGAAGCCAUAGUACUGCAAACAACAACAACAACAACAACAACAACAAAACAAAGCCCAAACCAAUAAAACAGCAGCCAAUUGUAUAAAGAUGUACUGUGAAAGAUUUCUGCUAUAGUUCACAAAGAAAGAAAUUAAAUACAUUUCUGCCACCAAGAGAAGCCUGUGUAGUUUGCCUACCAGAAUAGCCACUGGCCUGCCUUAUUGUUGUGGUUCUUAUGCUAUGGGCUCUGGAAGAAAGGACCUGACAGCAGAAUUGGGCAGACAUUUCAGAAAGUCAUUCUGACCCCCUGAGAGCCCUUGUGGAAUUUUCUGCAACCCUUGUGGAAUAGCCUUAUGUGCUCCAUGAGUUGGCAGCUCAGAUCUCAGUUUUUGCUUAUUAGGCUUUGGCACCUAAGUGGAAAGAAAGAAUAACUAUUAAGGAAUGCAAGAGUAUGGCAGAGUCAGUUUCAUAGCCUCUAUGAUUUCUGCCAUGGGAGAAAAAUGAAAAUUGUACUGUUUACAGGCAGAGUAAGGAUAUAAUCAGCACUUGAUUCAGUACUUGUCUCAGUAGAAGCGUUGCUAAUCUGCCUUCAUCAUAGGAAAGCUGCACUGCUCCCCCACAUGGUAGCCAGGUAGUAUGGUAAAAUGAUGUUCCCUGAACUCUAAGCCCUGCUUAGAGUUCACCUCUGAAUUGACAGAAAGCACCUUGGUCUUCUGCUUUACUCCAUGAGCACAAGUGAGCUAGUUUCCUUCCUUCCUUCUUUUCCUUCAUUUUUUUUCUUUUUUAAUAGUACUGGGAAAUGAACCCAGGGCCUCACAGUUAGGGAAGUGCUCUGCCACUGAAUCACUCCUAGCUCAACAUGAAUUUCUGAAUAUACUUCCUGGUUGAACAACUACUUUGCACUAGUGAUUCAGAUUCUCUUACAAGCCCCCUGGUGCUUAGCACAGUGGCCCAUGGAUUGAAGGUUUGAAGCCAGCCUGAACAAAGUAGUGAGACCCUGUCUCAAAAAGGGCUGGAGAUGUAGCACAGCACAGUGGUAGAGUACUCCUUGAUUCAGGCUCUAGAACUAAAAAUAUCCUUCUGGAGAUAACAGUCGCCAUCUUCUGAAAGGUAUAGGCAUAGUGUUAG